rnacentral:ribozyme from 1 species
UGCCCAGCAACUCCUAUUCCUACCUCCACGCGGUACCGGCCGGAAACUAUGAGCAACCUUAGGGAAGAUCGGGUAACCAACCCCGGUGGGAACUUUGGUCGUAGGCUGACAGGGAAGG